rnacentral:rRNA from 1 species
UUGGAGGGCAAGUCUGGUGCCAGCAGCCGCGGUAAUUCCAGCUCCAAUAGCGUAUAUUAAAGUUGUUGCAGUUAAAAAGCUCGUAGUUGAAUUUCGGGAUCAGUAUGUCGGUCGUGCUUCGGUACGUACUGUCAUUACUGGUUUCUCCCUUCUGGCGAACCAUGAUGUCAUUAAUUUGGCGUCUUGGGAAAUUAGGACUGUUACUUUGAAAAAAUUAGAGUGCUUAAAGCAGGCAUACGCUUGAAUACAUUAGCAUGGAAUAAUGAAAUAGGACGUUUGAUUCUAUUUUGUUGGUCUCUAGGAUCGACGUAAUGAUUAAUAGGGAUAGUUGGGGGCAUUAGUAUUCAAUUGUCAGAGGUGAAAUUCUUGGAUUUAUUGAAGACUAACUACUGCGAAAGCAUUUGCCAAGGAUGUUUUCAUUAAUCAAGAACGAAAGUUAGGGGAUCGAAGACGAUCAGAUACCGUCGUAGUCUUAACCAUAAACUAUGCCGACUAGGGAUCGGAUGAUGUUAAUUUUUUAAUGACUCAUUCGGCGCCUUACGGGAAACCAAAGUGUUUGGGUUC